CGCCCGCCCCCCUUCAGGUGUCCCCGGUGUCCCCCGGGGAGAAGCGCCAACCCUGCUGUGCCGGCGCGGUUGUUAAAGAAACUUACCAGUCUGACCGUCCCCGAGACGCUCUGGGAGCCGCGCUCCCGACGCCGGACACUGUCACCGCUGGGACCGAAGCCCCUUCACAGCGGCGGCUCCGGUGACCCGAGGAAUAAUUGACCUAUCUGAGUAAGUGUUCUAACUGCUAGACCACAUUCCCUUUGGAGAAAGGAACAGAUUGGCUGCUGAGAGAAGAGAGAGUAUGCUCAGAGGGUCAGAAUGUGUUUCUGCACUACUCCAAGGAAAGCACAAGACUGCAGAAAUCCCUGUGAGCUGGACUGAGG